rnacentral:rRNA from 1 species
CCUACGGGUGGCAGCAGUGGGGGAUAUUGCACAAUGGGGGGAACCCUGAUGCAGCGACGCCGCGUGGGUGAAGGAGUGCUUCGGCAUGUAAAGCCCUAUCGGCAGGGAAGAAGCAACACGGUACCUGACUAAGAAGCCCCGGCUAACUACGUGCCAGCAGCCGCGGUAAUCCGUAGGGGGCGAGCGUUAUCCGGUUUCACUGGGGGUAAAGGGAGCGUAGACGGCCAUGCAAGCCAGGGGUGAAAGCCCGGGGCCCAACCCCGGGACUGCCCUUGGGAAGGCAUGGCUGGAGUGCGGGAGGGGUAGGCGGAAUUCCUGGUGUAGCGGUGAAAUGCGUAGAUAUCAGGAGGAACACCGGUGGCGAAGGCGGCCUGCUGGACUGCAACUGACGUUGAGGCCCGAAAGCGUGGGGAGCAAACAGGAUUAGAUACCCCUGUAGUC